AGCAUUGAAUGGUUGGCAAACAAUGGAAAUUUCGUUUUCAUUUUUGGAUCAGUCUGCUUGAUGAAUUUAAACCUAGUGAUUAUGUUUGCUCAUCUGCUUCUCCAAGUCAUCUUUAGUGUGGAGACCUGAACUCAUGGAAUCAUGGGAACACUCGCACCUACAAGUUACCAUCUCCCAUCAUAUUUGAGCGAAUCAUUGGCAAGAACCACACAAUCUCCAGCGCAGGGAUUUUACUCAGAAGGAACUGUUGUCACCACCCAGGCAUGAACAAGAUUUUCUGAAAGACUGCUAUGGAGUCUGAGAAAAAAUGUCAAAGGUUGAGGACAUGAAGAGGAAAGAACUGACAGAGGAGGUGAAGAAAGGUGAUCAGGAAGAGCCAUCAAAGUGUUAUCCUGGAAUUCAAGUGAAGACAGUGUUUCAAAGGGGAAAUGAACAGUGUCCUGUAACCCUCAGAGUGAGACUAGAGUCAGAAUGCAGGCUUUUCUCAUUUGAAAUCUGAAGGUAAGUCCAGGUCCUUACCUCCACCUAAAAGUUCUGCCAUCAAGGAACAUCUGCUCAUUAUCUUCUGUUCACACAUCAAAUGACUUCAAUGUGAUCCCUGGAUGUUCUCCAAAGAGCUGAAGGGAAAUAAAUAUUCUUUCUUUAUCACCAAAUACUUCAACUGCAGAGUGAUUGUGCUACCAAGGCCUGAAACUUCGGAAAAACCUGCAUAACACAAAAUAUAAAGUACCAAGAUGAAUUCAGAGAAUCAAAGGGAAAGAGGAUAAUUGCACUUCAGAAAGAGUAGGAAUUAAGGUGGCUAUGGGGACCUAAACUGAAAGAGUGAUUAGAGUUUUAGAAGAACUAAGAAAAGAAGAACAAGAAGUUUACAGGAACUAAGCUUUGAAAAGUGUAGGGCACUGACUACCCUCUGUGGAAUUUAAAACUUAUAUGUAUAGUCUUACCAUAUAUAUCCCUAUCAAUUAUGCCACAGAGAGGAUCCAGAGAGCCCAUCUCCGGUCAGUUAUCUGUAUUUGUAUGUCAACUACAGCAUCAAAAAGCAUAGGCAUGGAUACUAAGGACCCCCUCUGUACACCAACGCCAGUCCAAAGGACAGUGUGUCACUGUGAACUGGAAAUUCAUCUCUCUUCUUCAAUUUUUUUCUACCUACUUUAUGCUUUAUCUCUAAGUUGAGGCUGUUUAUGGCCUCAUCCUCAAUUACCUUGUCCCUCAUUACUCCCAGUUAAUGGAGAUUAAGCUUUGUAUCAUGACUUCCUAACUAAAAUUGAAAUCACAAGACAUCACAUAAAUAAAGUUACAAAUGGAUUAGAUCCAUUGAGUUGUCAUAUUUUGCUA
rnacentral:lncRNA from 1 species